rnacentral:rRNA from 1 species
AAACGCUGGCGGCGUGUCUUAAGCAUGCAAGUCGAGCGGCAGGCGCAGCAAUGCGCUGAGAGCGGCGGACUGGUGAGUAACGCGCGGGUAAUCUACCUUUGGCAUGGGGAUAGCCACUAGAAAUAGUGGGUAAUACCGAAUACGUUCCCUGGGGGGAGGUUUCAGGGAAGAAAGGGUGCUACGGCACCGGCCAAAGAUGAGCUCGCGUCCCAUUAGCUAGUUGGUGAGGUAACGGCUCACCAAGGCGAUGAUGGGUAGCCGGCCUGAGAGGGUGUACGGCCACACUGGGACUGAGAUACGGCCCAGACUCCUACGGGAGGCAGCAGCUAAGAAUAUUCCGCAAUGGACGAAAGUCUGACGGAGCGACGCCGCGUGGAUGAUGAAGGCCGAAAGGUUGUAAAGUCCUUUUGCUGGGGAAGAAUAAGUGUGGGAGGGAAUGCCCGCAUGAUGACAUGAACCGGCGAAUAAGCCCCGGCCAACUACGUGCCAGCAGCCGCGGUAACACGUAGGGGGCGAGCGUUGUUCGGAAUUACUGGGCGUAAAGGGCAUGUAGGCGGUCUGGUAAGCCUGGCGUGAAAGGCCACAGCUCAACUGUGGGAUUGCGUUGGGAACUGCUGGGCUUGAGUUAUGGAGAGGGAGCUAG